ACGAGGCUGACCAUUCAUUACCAGUCCCAAAACUGCCGAGGUCACGCCUCCUCUGACCAGCAAUGGCGAACAGCGGCGGAGGUAAAUUCGACGACCUCCUCGUGAGGUUGGGGACAGCCAAGUGGAAUUACUUCUACUUCAUCGUGAUAUGUUGGUUCUGUUUCCUCCUGCCGGGUCAAAUCAUCAGCAUAGUGUUCGCGGCGCCUUCUGUGGACUUCACCUGCGUAAUACCUGAAGAAGAGGCAAAAAACGUCCCUGAACAGGACCUAACAGACGCCUGUACCUAUGUCACGAAUUCCACGUCACCGGAAGGUCAACCCUUGACCAAGCCUUGUCUUGAGUGGGAUUUCGACAAUUCGACUUACUCUCGCACUCUCACUUCCCAGUACCAACUAGUCUGUGGACGGAAGUUCCUGAGGACGGCCUACCACACCCUUUCAUGAUUGGCAACCUAUUCGGUCCACCCAUCGCUGGAUACUUCUCAGAUAAAUACGGCAGGAAACUCGUGGCUGUAUCUGGGGGCGUGGUCUUCACACUGACAGCCGUCAUUCUGCCCUUCAUACCCAGCCUCCCGGGCAUCUUGGCUGUCAGGUUCAUCAUGGGCUUCGCCAACCUACCCACGGCUUAUAUCCUGGCCAUGGAGGUGUGUGAGCCCAAGAAGCGCUCCUACGUGGGCAUUCUCCUGGCACUGCCCUGGGCACUGGGCACCAUGGCCUACGGGGGCAUAGCCUACUACGUGAGGGACUGGGGCUGGCUCCAGUUCAUCAUGUCGUUUCCUCUCGUCAUACUUUUGCCCGCGAUUUGGUGAGUUCGUUUUUUUCCCC